AGUUUCAGGGCAGCUAGCUACAGUAUGACAAUUAAUUAAAACUUUAGCUGGUUUGUCCAGUGCUGA
ensembl:miRNA mdo-mir-7338 mdo-mir-7338